UACAGAGGUCCCAAGCGUUGUUCGGAUUCACUGGGCGUAAAGGGUGCGUAGGCGGUCGGGUAAGUCUGAUGUGAAAUCUCACAGCUUAACUGUGAAACUGCAUUGGAUACUAUCCGGCUAGAGGAAUGGAGGGGAGACUGGAAUACUCGGUGUAGCAGUGAAAUGCGUAGAUAUCAAGUGGAACACCAGUGGCGAAGGCGAGUCUCUGGACAUUUCCUGACGCUGAGGCACGAAAGCCAGGGGAGCAAACGGG
rnacentral:rRNA from 1 species